GGUAGUGUGGCCGAGUGGUCUAAGGCACAGGCAGGCUCCAGUCUCUUCAGAGGUGUGGGUUCGAAUCCCACCGCUGCCA
rnacentral:tRNA from 1 species